AAAUAUUUGAACAGCAAGGGAAACAGGAAGCAAUGAGAAACAAAAUCACCCUCCAGCUCUGAGUCACAGGACCAUCUCCUCUGGCAGGCCCUGUCAGCCACAGCCCAGGGAAGCUAAUUGGGGUACAUGGAGCCUCUUUGACUAAGUAGCAAGGAACGGGAAAUGCACUCUGGUUUCUUCUUGGCUUCCAGUUCGUGUGUUCAGACCCAGUUCUGCCUUCCUGCCUUUGACGCAGGGAAAUAAGGGUCUGAAUAAAACCUGUUGGAGGUUGCAAUUAAAUCUUUGUGGACAAAGGGCACACACACGCAAAUGUACACAGCAUCCUCAGAUAACAGGAGGCAAUAAAUCCAUCAGCACAUCCACAUUCAGAGAACGGCAUCCCUGCUGUCUUGCUAACAGCUGCCAGUACCUCCCCUGUCUCUUAUACACAUCUAGAUGUGUAUAAGAGACAGAUUGAGGUCAGACUGUAAAUACAGUUUAAGU
rnacentral:lncRNA from 1 species